GAAGAGUUGAAAAACUCCCAAACCCACUGUAAACCUACCUGUAUCGUUGCUUCGGCGGGCGGCCCCAGGGCGGGGCCUUUUGCAGGUGUCCGCUGACGGCCCCUAUAAACUCUUUUUUUUUUGGGUACUCUGAGUAAGACCAAAUGAGUCA
rnacentral:misc_RNA from 1 species